UUAGCACCACUCGGCUGGACUUUUUGACCACGUCUGUCCCCGUUACUAGACCACCAGUUCUUUGAGGGCUGAUACCAUGAGGUCUGCUGGGUCGUAAGUAGGAAGCUGGGGUAAAGGGACCAGACCUGACCACCCAAGCUCUCUUGUGCCGAGGUCAAGACACUUAACCCUUCUGAUUCCUGGUUUCGUCAUCCGGGAAACACUCCGUGGGGCUCUUUGGGGAUUAAUCACUACCGGAUGGAAAGAACAUGGCGUAGCCACCAAGGACCAGCUUCCUUUCUUCAUUUCCAGACGCUCUCUCUCUCUCUCUCUCUCCAC